CUCCCGACCAAGCUGGUGUGCGACCUGCUAGGAGUUGUAUUUUCAAAAAGAGAGAUGGCCACCUCGUCCCUGACUGGACAAAAGGGCAGUGCCAAAGACGAAAUAAAACCACCACUGGAGGCCACCGCGGUCAAAGCUAUUUUUGAAUACACUCUGCAGAAAUUUCCCAAUGUGGAACUAUCCGUCCUGAGGGGAGCCGUCAGGAAUAAGUUAAACAAUGUCAGCAAGCUGUUCAAGAAAACACAGGCUGAAGCUGGAUCCGAUGAACCCUGAUCCCUCAGACAUUGAAUUAUUUG